rnacentral:rRNA from 1 species
GAUGAACGCUGGCGGCGUGCCUAAUACAUGCAAGUCGAGCGAACGGACGAGAAGCUUGCUUCUCUGAUGUUAGCGGCGGACGGGUGAGUAACACGUGGAUAACCUACCUAUAAGACUGGGAUAACUUCGGGAAACCGGAGCUAAUACCGGAUAAUAUUUUGAACCGCAUGGUUCAAAAGUGAAAGACGGUCUUGCUGUCACUUAUAGAUGGAUCCGCGCUGCAUUAGCUAGUUGGUAAGGUAACGGCUUACCAAGGCAACGAUGCAUAGCCGACCUGAGAGGGUGGACGGCCACACUGGAACUGAGACACGGUCCAGACUCCUACGGGAGGCAGCAGUAGGGAAUCUUCCGCAAUGGGCGAAAGCCUGACGGAGCAACGCCGCGUGAGUGAUGAAGGUCUACGGAUCGUAAAACUCUGUUAUUAGGGAAGAACAUAUGUGUAAGUAACUGUGAACAUCUUGACGGUACCUAAUCAGAAAGCCACGGCUAACUACGUG